GACGAACGCUGGCGGCGUGCCUAAUACAUGCAAGUAGAACGCUGAAGGAGGAGCUUGCUUCUCUGGAUGAGUUGCGAACGGGUGAGUAACGCGUAGGUAACCUGCCUGGUAGCGGGGGAUAACUAUUGGAAACGAUAGCUAAUACCGCAUAAGAGUAGAUGUUGCAUGACAUUUGCUUAAAAGGUGCAAUUGCAUCACUACCAGAUGGACCUGCGUUGUAUUAGCUAGUUGGUGGGGUAAUGGCUCACCAAGGCGACGAUACAUAGCCGACCUGAGAGGGUGAUCGGCCACACUGGGACUGAGACACGGCCCAGACUCCUACGGGAGGCAGCAGUAGGGAAUCUUCGGCAAUGGACGGAAGUCUGACCGAGCAACGCCGCGUGAGUGAAGAAGGGUUUCGGAUCGUAAAGCUCUGUUGUAAGAGAAGAACGAGUGUGAGAGUGGAAAGUUCACACUGUGACGGUAUCUUACCAGAAAGGGACGGCUAACUACGUG
rnacentral:rRNA from 1 species